AAUAAAAUGGCUGAAUUGUAAGCGAUAAAUUGUAAAUUUAUUUAUAAGAUUAAUUCUUUUUUAUUA
rnacentral:tRNA from 1 species